CGGGUGAGUAACACGUGGACAAUCUGCCCCCCGGUCCGGGAUAGCCCAGGGAAACCUGGAUUAAUACCGGAUGAGACGGGACCCGCGGAGGCGGGAUCCGGGAAAGGCGCUACGGCGCCGCCGGGGGAUGAGUCUGCGUCCCAUUAGCUAGACGGCGGGGUAACGGCCCACCGUGGCGACGAUGGGUAGCCGGCCUGAGAGGGUGGACGGCCACAUUGGAACUGAGACACGGUCCAGACUCCUACGGGAGGCAGCAGCUAAGAAUCUUCCGCAAUGGGCGAAAGCCUGACGGAGCGACGCCGCGUGAACGAAGAAGGCCGUGAGGUUGUAAAGUUCUUUUCGGGAGGGGGAACAACCGUGGCAGGGAAUGGCCGCGGGGUGACGUGAAUCCCGGAAUAAGCCCCGGCUAACUACGUGCCAGCAGCCGCGGUAACACGUAGGGGGCGAGCGUUGUUCGGAAUCAUUGGGCGUAAAGGGCGUGCAGGCGGUCCUGCAAGUCCGGCGUGAAAGACCCCGGCCCAACCGGGGGGACGCGCUGGAAACUGCGGGGCUUGAGUACAGGAGGGGAUGCCGGAAUUCCAGGUGUAGGGGUGAAAUCUGUAGAUAUCUGGAAGAACACCAAUGGCGAAGGCAGGCAUCUGGCCAUGUACUGACGCUGAGACGCGAAGGUGCGGGGAGCAAACAGGUUUAGAUACCCUGGUAGUCCGCACAGUAAACGAUGUGCACCAGGUGGCGGG
rnacentral:rRNA from 1 species